UACGAAGGGGGCUAGCGUUGCUCGGAAUCACUGGGCGUAAAGCGCACGUAGGCGGAUCCUUAAGUCAGGGGUGAAAUCCCGAGGCUCAACCUCGGAACUGCCUUUGAUACUGGGGAUCUUGAGUCCGGGAGAGGUGAGUGGAAUUGCGAGUGUAGAGGUGAAAUUCGUAGAUAUUCGCAAGAACACCAGUGGCGAAGGCGGCUCACUGGCCCGGUACUGACGCUGAGGUGCGAAAGCGUGGGGAGCAAACAGG
rnacentral:rRNA from 1 species